rnacentral:rRNA from 1 species
UACAGAGGUCCCAAGCGUUGUUCGGAUUCACUGGGCGUAAAGGGUGCGUAGGUGGUGAGGUAAGUCGGAUGUGAAAGCUCUGAGCUCAACUCCGAAAUGGCAUUGGAAACUACCUUGCUCGAGGGUUGGAGGGGGGACUGGAAUACUUGGUGUAGCAGUGAAAUGCGUAGAUAUCAAGUGGAACACCAGUGGCGAAGGCGAGUCCCUGGACAACUCCUGACACUGAGGCACGAAAGCUAGGGGAGCAAACGGG